UUCUUUCUUGCUUGCUCUCUCUCUUCCUCCUUUCCUUCCUUCCUUUCUCAUGCUGAGUUAAAACUCCUCUUUUUCUUAAUCGCUCAAUUCUCUCACCUGCUUCCCACCCCCCACGAAAUUAGACAAGCUUUCUAAGAGCAAGAACGAUGGUGUGGUAGACAGAACCAGAGUCAAUGCUGGGCAGACGGCAGCAUAUCAGCUCCAUACCUGCCCAUUCAUUAUUUUAGGUAGGAACUGGCCAUGUACAUGAAUCAUCAUACCAUUGUAGGACAUUGAGAGGGAUCCCAGAGAUCGUCUAAUCCCAAGUCCCUACUUCUGAGUUGUAGCUUUGGAGGCCUAGAAGCAGAUGUAUGAUUUGUAUGGGGGUCUCCCCUUUCCCACCUCAGGGCCCUACGUGGUUACAAAAUCCCAGUAGCUAUGUGGUCAGGCUUGCCACACUUCAUGCCUUCAUCACUCUGGAAUUUCGGACAUCUUCUCUCUCCAUCUGCUGGUCUUCCAGAAUUACAGCUUUUCAGGAGAGCCUGCUCCAUUACUCAGGCAAGGCCUGGGUAGGAUUUGCCAUAUCCUGAGUGUGUUGAGAGUUCUAAGAUGUUUGCUUUGUAAAGCGGAGACUUCAUUCUACUUCAUAGUGACUUCCUCGCACAUCAAUCAUGUUUUCUGGUAACAGCGUCAUGGGAGAAAUGUGAUUUGAUCUUACAGAGAGGCGAUUAAGUCGCUGAACCUCUAGACUUCAUUGGGGGUGAGGGGGUGUUAUGGCAAAUGCUUACUUAAUGACGAGCUCGUGUUUUGUUUUGUUUUGUUUUGUUUUGUUUUUUAACUACUUGAGCCUUGAUACCACCAGUGAGCAAAGGCACUGCCCACGUGGGCUGUCGGGCUGAAGGGAAACACGGAAAACCUGGGAAAGAAAAGUGAAAAUGAACAAAAGAAAGGAAGAAACUUCAAAAGCCGUAAUUUCAGGACAAUAAAGUACUCACAUUAAUAUAGACUCUUAACUAUGGCCCCCUUCAGAACCAGCUGUCCUUUGAACCCUGCAAGGCAAAGACAACUGCCAUGGAGUGGUCAUUUAAUUCUCUCUCUCUCUCUUUCUGAUGGCAAACAUUAACUGCUGGCUACAACAGGACCACCUGCAAUGUGUUAGUCAUUAAAAAGGUCACCGUUACUAAACAUUUUAAACUGUGAAUAGCUUCAGAUUAAAUUAGGUGUAAAAAAAGUCA